GACGAACGCUGGCGGCGUGCUUAACACAUGCAAGUCGAACGGAAAGGCCCUGCUUUUGUGGGGUGCUCGAGUGGCGAACGGGUGAGUAACACGUGAGUAACCUGCCCUUGACUUUGGGGUAACUUCAGGAAACUGGGGCUAAUACCGGAUAGGAGCUCCUGCUGCAUGGUGGGGGUUGGAAAGUUUCGGCGGUUGGGGAUGGACUCGCGGCUUAUCAGCUUGUUGGUGGGGUAGUGGCUUACCAAGGCUUUGACGGGUAGCCGGCCUGGGAGGGUGACCGGCCCCAUUGGGACUGAGAUACGGCCCAGACUCCUACGGGAGGCAGAAGUGGGGAAGAUUGCACAAUGGGCGGAAGCCUGAUGCAGCAACGCCGCGUGCGGGAUGACGGCCUUCGGGUUGUAAACCGCUUUCGCCUGUGACGAAGCGUGAGUGACGGUAAUGGGUAAAGAAGCACCGGCUAACUACGUG
rnacentral:rRNA from 1 species